AUACUUAACCUAGCAGGGGAGGUACCAUGAUCAUGAAGGUGGUUUUCCCAGGGCGAGGCUUAUCCAUUGCACUCCAGAUGUGCUGACCCCUGUGAUUUCCCCAAAUGCGGGAAACUCGACUGCAUAAUUUGUGGUAGUGGGAGACCGUUCACGCUCUCCCC
rnacentral:snRNA from 1 species